rnacentral:rRNA from 1 species
AACGAACGCUGGCGGCAUGCCUAACACAUGCAAGUCGAACGAGACCUUCGGGUCUAGUGGCGCACGGGUGCGUAACGCGUGGGAACCUGCCCUUAGGUUCGGAAUAACUCCCCGAAAGGGGUGCUAAUAUCGGAUAAUGUCUUCGGACCAAAGAUUUAUCGCCUUUGGAUGGGCCCGCGUUGGAUUAGCUAGUUGGUAGGGUAAAAGCCUACCAAGGCGACGAUCCAUAGCUGGUCUGAGAGGAUGAUCAGCCACACUGGGACUGAGACACGGCCCAGACUCCUACGGGAGGCAGCAGUGGGGAAUAUUGGACAAUGGGCGAAAGCCUGAUCCAGCAAGGCCGCGUGAGUGAUGAAGGCCUUAGGGUUGUAAAGCUCUUUUACCCGGGAGGAUAAUGACAGUACCGGGAGAAUAAGCUCCGGCUAACUCCGUG